rnacentral:snRNA from 1 species
AUUCUGCAAUUCCAGCACACAUACUAAAGGCUGAAUGCUACUAAGCAGAAUAGCCUGGCCCAUGUACAAGAAUGACACCCAGAUCCAAGAGGCAUAUUACAUCUUC